GUCGAUUAUUACAAAUCUCGGUAUAUUAAUAUGCAAACAAAAUGUUGUUCUAGUUCUUUGUUUUUCUUAGAUUUAGUUGUCAAGUUUGACAUCUCAAGUUUUAUUUCUAAAUAUCUAUAUAUUUGGUUUAUUGACUUUUAAUUGAAUUCGAAUAUUAGUUUCUAAAUUUUUAAACGUUAUGCCGGCAGUUCUUGUGCACUUUUAUUAACGCUUGUAUUUAGUUUGCUGGUCAAAAUUUGGCUUUGAACUAGUUUACUUAUGAUCCAGUUAAAGAAUUAAUUGCUCAGACUUUUGCAAUAUUUUACUUAAAGAUACCGCAUUUUAUGUAUAUUUUAACAAACUCCAGCCUAAGCAAAAUUGAAUGAAAUAACUACAAAAGUUGAAGGAGCUGGCAUAUAUCCUUUAGAAUAUUAAGAAAACUUACCGUACGACUGUGUUAUGACCACAUGCAACUACCAAACGUCAAAUAAUAAUAAACUGCUAAAGUUCUCAGCGAAAAAGCGCGCUAAAACAUAUCUCAUCAAAAUCAGUACUUUCCUUCCUGCUAUUUCCAUAAAUAUUAAAAAAAAGAAGCCUGAACGAUGGUGAUUAGAGGACACCUAUCGGUGAUAUCUCCCCAUCAGAAACUAUUUAAGGUGGGAUGUCUCGAAUAUAAUGACAACGGCUUAGCAUUAGCUCUGUGAAUUCAAAGCGUUCAAUUUUCCUUUCUAAGAGAUCGGAAAAUCUACAGUGGUAGGCCUUUACUUGAGACUCAUUUGGAACCUAACCGGCCUCGUAAUGGCUUAAGGGGCACACCAAUUGGGCAGUCUAAAAAGUUAGUUUUGAGAAAUAAAAAAAAGCAUAUAGAGAACAUGCAGAAAAAAUUUAACAUUUUAUUUCCGAAGCUAUAACCUUUUGAAAUAUAAAAAAAUCCAUUUAUUUUAAAUUCACUUGCCUCUUAAGUUCCGUAACAGCGAGACACUUUUUCGACUUCUACAUUCAACCACCAAAUGGAUAUGAUCAGAUCUGUCAAAUUAGUAAAAUACUUGUAUUACCAAAAAAAAAUUGAGAUAAUUUUAUGACGCCGCUCCACAGCAUCAUAUGUAUUUGCUAUACUGCAAUGAAACCCACAAAAGCUCUUGGAACAAAUUCAUCAAAAUCAACUGAUAUAACCCACAACUGAAUUGACAACCUAUAAUACUUCAUACUGCACAUAUUUAUCAUUAUUUUAUGGAGUAACUCAUACAUGCAUACACACAUGCAUACAUAUUGUAUUAUAUACAUAUCUCCAGUAUUCAAAUAAUACCCAUUCUUAACAAAUUCGUUGCGGCUACUGCGGUUGAAAGCUCUGCACAUUAUUUUUGUCAUUUCGUUAUUAUUGAAAUAUAACCGCAAUUGUUGUGUACAUUGAGCUAAGCACAUUUUAAUAGCGCGCUUUUGUUUAAUAAGCCUGGCUCAAAGCUUCUUUUCACAAAGGAGCGCAAGAGAAAAAUUCAAAUCCGCCACGGUUUUGGAGCUUAUUUUGGAUUUUUAGAUAUGAUAAAUUCGUGUAUGUUUCGUUCGUCUGCUUUAUGGGCUGCCUGAAGAAAGCGAAAGCUGGAGAAAAAGUGGUUGAAAAUCAAUAAGAGUGGUAACUUUUGCAGAACAUGAAUAAUGAUGACUAUUUAAAAAAAAAUCAAUAUGGAAUAUGGCUGAUUGUCUGUUGGCUGAUUGUCUGUUGGUUUUCAUUGUUUUAUCUUUCCAUAUGCAGAGUUUUUAUUUUAGUCACAUAUACAUUGUUUUAAGUAGAAGUUUGUUGCUUAAGUCUUUUGUGCUUUGCAUACUUAUAAUA